rnacentral:rRNA from 1 species
GGAGGCAGCAGUGGGGAAUAUUGCACAAUGGGCGGAAGCCUGAUGCAGCGACGCCGCGUGAGGGAUGACGGCCUUCGGGUUGUAAACCUCUUUCAGUAGGGAAGAAGCGAAAGUGACGGUACCCGCAGAAUAAGCUCCGGCUAACUACGUGCCAGCAGCCGCGGUGAUACGGAGGGUGCAAGCGUUGUCCGGAUUUAUUGGGCGUAAAGGGCUCGUAGGUGGUUGAUCGCGUCGGAAGUGUAAUCUUGGGGCUUAACCCUGAGCGUGCUUUCGAUACGGGUUGACUUGAGGAAGGUAGGGGAGAACUGGAAUUCCUGGUGAGCGGUGAAAUGCGUAGAGAUCUGGAGGAAUACCGAUGGCGAAGGCAGCCAUCUGGCCAGACUGACACUGAGGACGAAAGCGUGGGGAGCAAACAGGAUUAGAUACCCUGGUAGUCCACGCUGUAAACGGUGGGUACUAGGUGUGGGGUCCAUUCCACGGGUUCCGUGCCGUAGCUAACGCUUUAAGUAUGCCGGAGCUAACGCGUUAAACGCGCCACCUGGGAAGUACGAUCGCAAGACUUGAACUGGGAGUACGUUCGCAAGAACGAAAACUCUUGGAAAUUGACGGGGGCCCGCACAAGCGGUGGAGCAUGUGGUUUAAUUCGAUGCAACGCGAAGAACCUUACCUGGCCUUGACAUGCCUUGACCGAUGCAGAGAUGCAUUUUUCCUUUCGGGGACAGCGGCACAGGUGCUGCAUGGCUGUCGUCAGCUCGGUCGUGAGAUGUUGGUUUAAGUCCCGCAACGAGCGCAACCCUUACAGUCCCGCAACGAGCGCAACCCUCGUGGUCCCGUAACGAGGCAACCCUUGUUCACUGUUGCCAGCACGUUAUGGUGGGGACUCAGAGGAACCGCCGGUGACAAGUCGGAGGAAGGCGGGGAAUGACGUCAAAUCAUCAUGCCCCUUAUGUCCAGGGCUACACGCAUGCUACAAUGGCCGGUACAGAGGGCUGCGAUCCCGUGAGGGUGAGCGAAUCCCAAAAAGCCGGUCUAGUUCGGAUUGGGGGUCUGCAACUCGCCCCAUGAAGU